ensembl:lncRNA
AUUUAUCUCAUGCUCAGGUUAGAUGUCCACUUAGGUCUCUUUGUUCUUUCUCCAGACACCUGUGCCGCACAGCCAACAAGUGUGUCUGAUGCUGGUGUGGCUAUUGUCCAUCCUUCCAGAGAAGCUCCAUGGGAGCUGAGCCCAUCUGACUGCUGCUCUGUGCCUGGCUGAGCAGCAGUGCUGGGGUCUGUGAUGCCUUCAGACAUGUCCCAAGUGCAACGUGAUCAGUGCACGUCCGUUUCUGAUGGUGAAGCAGCUCUUCUGCAUAAAGAGGACACGGUGUUUUCAGUGGGCAGGAGAAAGCCCGCCCAGAGCUGCUCCAUCUAGAAGAGCAUGGAACAGACUUGAGAUACCACUUGAGAACUGGGCAGAGAUGGGAAGUAAGGCAUGCGCAGAUGGCACUGGGGAAACAAAUCUGCCCCAGGAGAGCCGAGCAGCCCUGGAUCCAGAACCCUCUGGAAGCAUAUCUGUUGUUGGGGAAUGUCAGCCGUCACCUGGAUGUGAACCUGACCUGGCUGUGAGGGUGGCCCCAUGAAGAGUGGGGGCAAUGUUGGAGGGACAGAGAUGUUGAGACCUCCCCUCCCACCUGAACCCUCCUAUAAUUUUGCAAACCUGUGAGCAGCCUGCAUCUUCCCCAAAGGAUGGAGAAGCUUCCACUUGAGCAGGCCAGGAAAUGAAAUCUAAGCAGUAAAUAUGGCCCUAAAAUUAUCAUGGAAAUGAGCGGUGGGAACAAAGUGAUUGUGUUAACAGACUGGUUUAAGCACUGAAAUAGAAGCGUAAUUUCUGUCAGAAAGGACAAAUCUUUCCUGCAGAGUUAAUAGUGCUAUAUGAAGUUGUUCUUAAUAGUUGUUUAUUUUAUUUCACAGUGUUCAAAUAAGCCUCUGUAAAUCUAAAAUUAUCUCUGUCUAAUGAAUACUUUCAGAAUACUCAUGCAUAAUCUGUGUGCAUGGGUGUGUUUGUGUGUGCUGACGACACUUCAGGUAUACAUAGGGGACUCCUCAGUUUCUUUGGAAAAUGUCUAUUCACUAAGAAAUCUGAAAUCUUUUUAGUUCACAGAAGUGAACAAGGAUGAACGAGUCACACCAACAAGCAGCACAGCAUGGCUGGUAUGACACCUUGCUAUGCUGCACUUUGUGAGAAGCCUUUUGAGUCAGUUAAGCAUGAUUUUCCUUUCAGAAGUCCAUGGUGACUAUUUAUGAUCAUCUUCCUGUCCUUCAUGUUUCUGGAAAUGAUUUCCAGGAUCAGCUGAGGUGAGGCUACCCGCCUUAUCAUUCCUCAUAUCUUCCUUUUUCCUUCCCAAAGACAGAGGCAGCACUUGCUGUCUUCUAGUCUUCAGGAACAAUUCCCAGUUGCCAUGAUAGCGGAAGUACUGAAGAUGGCUGGGGGGGUGUGAAUUCCAAAGAACUGGAAAGCACUGAGCAGGCAAAAGCUCUGAACUUGAUGUCUGAGCACUCUGCAGCUCUUUAAUGGUAUGUCAAAUUUAAGCCAAAAAAAUAAUGGCACUGCUGGAAUCUUUCAAUUUUGUGUUGUGAUGC